UUUCAAGAUUUGGUUGCCAACUCAUAAGUCCAAAUGCAUCUGACUUCCUGCUAUUGGACCUUGUGCGUUGCAAAGUGAGUCUUACCAAAUUGUAUGUUUAAAACCUUGCUAAUUUGUUUAUUUAAACUAAUGGUACCAACGGAACUAGAGGCUAUCGAAGCACUUGAUUUCCUCAACAGCUAUCGGAGAGUUUGCUUCUUCCAACUCCUGCAGUUUCCGAGUGCGAAUGGGAAUGAUGAGUCACCGAUUGCUUUACUAUAUAUAAAAAGAAUAAAGGAAGUAAAGAGAAGCUACAUUCUCUCUAGGUUGCCUAACUUGUUGAGUAUUUCAGCAUUUUAUAGUUAACGUUUAAAAUCAUUGCUUUUCCGAUCUCCAAUGGGUUCAUAGAAGAUGAAGAAACUGAAGAAAAUUGCCAGAAAAGCAAGUCAAAAGCUCACAAGUCCAGUGUGACAGCAGAGCCAGCUGAUUCCAUUUCUCCCCCGGAGAGAUGACAAGAAAAUAGGAUUCCAAUAUGCAUUUGGACAUUGGGAAUGUAUUUCUUCAGGGCUGCUGGAGCCCAACCAUGUGAAAAAGUGGGGAUGAUUUUGUGCCAUUGUUGUGAUUAAUGGCUGUGUGGAAGUCAACUGAGCCAUUAAGAAUUAAUGAUAUGCAGGUCUUAUCAACAGGAAACUCUGCACCUACACUUAUACAGUAUAUACUUACAGAAAAGGAUUGCACAAUUGUAUUUAAGAUAGAAAAUAUUAGUAGUUUCAAAUUUUGCAAAUAAGCCACUAUGCAGACAUAUUUUUAAAAUUAAAUUGAAAUCCACGGCAUUUACUAUAUUUCAUUUUCCAUUCAACUAUCAUGAUGUAGUUGCUGGCCCUAAUCAUUUGGUGACUCUGCAGAGCAAGUUUUACACACAAACCGAUUGUCACUUGUAUCCUUGGUUGGGCAGUCAUUUCCUGUCUGCAAACCUUGUAAUUAAUUAUCACCAACAGAAAAUGCUGAAAAAACUUAGCAAGUUGGGCAGCAUCAUUUGUUAACAUUAUGUGUUGGAGACCCUUGUAUUUUUCCAGCCUUUUCUGACUUUCAGAUUUCCAGCAUCUGCAGUUUUUGCCAUUUCUGUUUUGAGUUUUUAUAACAACUUAGAUCACAGUAUCAUAAAUUAAAAGUUGCCAUCUCAGCUUUUCCUUUUGAAUAUUCCAUUCAAUAAAAGCAUUCAAUAAAAACAGUCGAUAGAAGUCCUGCCAAAGGGUUUCGGCCCGAAACGUCACUGUACUUUUUUUCCAUGGAUGCUGCCUGGCCCACUGAGUUCCUCCAGCAUUUUGUGUGUUUUGCUUGGAUUUCCAACAUCUGUAGAUUUUCUCUUGUUUGUAAUAAAAGCAUAUAGUUGCAGCCUUUGGCCAACAAGUGACCCCAUAUAGUAAGUCUGUGGGUUAUCCAAAGUCAAGACUACAGGAACAUGAGAAAAUAAGAGUAGGAGUAGACCACUUGGACUCUUAAGCCUUUCAAUUUGAUCUAUGCUGGCCUCAAUAACCUCUCCUCAGGGUUUCCUAACUAUACAAUUCCUUCCCCCUCACAGAUGCUGCUCAACCCACCAAGUUCCUUCACGAUUUUCACUAAAGAAUUUUCAAUUAGUGUCCACAUGCCACAAACUGAAGGAUAUUGCUUCUAUCGUAUACACAUUGUUUUCUGAUAGUUUGUGAAUGAUGCAUUUUCUAAUAUCUAGUUUGCAAAAUCAUAUUAACAAACAUUAUAUCCCAGAAGUGCUUUAACAGUAAUUAUGGUGAUUCAGAUUCAAUUAUUUAUCACAUGUACAUUGAAACAUACAGUGAAAUGUGUCAUUUGCAUUAACAACCAACACAACCUAAAGAUGUGCUGUGGGCAGCCCACAAAUGUGUUAGCACACAUUCUGGUGCCAGCAUAACAUUACCACAGCAGAAGCAACGUCAACAACACAACAACAGCAAAACAAACCCCUUUUCUCCCUCCCACCUACGCACUCUCUCACACACAUACACAGACAGGUCUUCAAUCCCAGGACGGGCCACUCCAAACCAUUACCCUGCAGUCCUUGGUCUGUAUGCGAAGAAUCCAAAUGUCAGGCAUUUGACUUCCAGGCCCUCCGACCCAGGGGCCUUGUCCAUUGGGCCUUGUGUACUGGUAGCACAACUUGGGUGAGACAUGCAAAGGGAUUGGCUGUGACUUCGUCAUCAUCAGAUGAUUGCUGACAAUUAUUGUUUCAUGCAUGAGAAACAGGCAUUUCAGCAAGGUUCUAGGCAAUAGCCAAGAUCCUUAGAACUGUAUCCUUAUUAGUAAGCAUUUGCACCUCUUGUGGGGAGUUGAGCACAAAUUCCUUUGAUUAGCCUGAUUAGUCUUUAACCUCUCAGAAUCACAAAUCAAAAAAAGUGUAACAUUAUCAGCCAGUUGGUGUAGGUAGUAUGAGAGCCUUUGUUCCCAGUGGGGAAAAUGCCAGUAUGGAGUGUUCACGGAUCAGGGAUAGAACUAACCCAUAGUUAGAGACAGAACUAUUGACUCACUAAGUAAGAUCCUGCACACAAGAGUAAAACUAUUCUUCAUUAUAUUACUGGAAAAAUGAAUCCUGGUUUUGGGAAUUGCAAGUGUGAAGACUGCUAAUGCAGGAAUAGUGGAGCAAUGAUCUCACUGUUCGCAAUGAAUAUACAUUCAAAGAAUGUUGAGACUGUUUUUACAAUGUACUUUUCUCCAUAAAACCCUAAAGUAUUUUUGUGCAGGUUUUGCUGUGUCACAGGUCGGGAUGCAAUUAUUUAUAUCUGUUGUUUGUUAAGCAGUGUCAUUAGUAAUGUAGUCAGUAAGUUUGUUUUUGUGUGAUAACAUGAAAUUGAUGAUAUAGUUCAACUGCCAUACACCUCUCUUGAUUUCCAGCUUGUUGGUUCUGUCGAAAGAGGGCUAUAUAAAAUAUCAGCAAUUCUACACAUUAUCCAUUGUCAAAACUAUCUCUGGUCAUGCAGGGCAACAAAGAGAUGUUGACCCAAGAAGUUAGUCCUAAUUUCAAUAUCAAAUUAAUUUAUUGUUGGGAAAUUUGAAGGAGUUGAUUAAAAGCUAUGUCUGUACAGCAAUUAAAUAAAAUUAAGUGCAUCUGCUUCAUUUAAUUUAAUGAU